rnacentral:misc_RNA from 1 species
GUGAAUCAUCAAAUUUUUGAACGCAAAUUGCGCCUUCUUUCGGGAGGCAUGUCUGUUUGAGGGCACCAUUUAACAAAUAAUGUGCGCGUCGUCUGUGCAUACUAGCGGCGUGCACACGUUGAUGAGCUUUCCAGGAAUUUUAAAUUUUUGGUGGCGCAUAAUGAACAGCGUGAAAGUUUUUUUCAGUUCGAGUGUAGUAAAAUCUUUGCUUGGGUUGUGAAAAAACAUAAUCGCGCAAUGGGUGUGGCAAUUUCUUUUUAUCCCUGCCCCAAUGCCACUCUUUCUCUCGAAAGCAUGUCUA